rnacentral:rRNA from 1 species
CUUGAACGCUGGCGGCAGGCCUAACACAUGCAAGUCGAACGAGUGGCGGACGGGAGAGUAAUGUCUGGGAAACUGCCCGAUGGAGGGGGAUAACUACUGGGAACCGUGGCUACUACCGCAUACCUUCGGAUGUGCCCGAAUGGGAUUAGCUAGUGGGUGGGGUAACGGCUCACCUCGGCGAGGAUCCCUAGCUGGUCUGAGAGGAUUACCAGCCACACUGGAACUGGGACACGGGCCAGCUUCCUACGGGAGGCAGCAGUGGUGAAGAUUGGACAAUGGGCGAAAGCCUGAUUCAGCCAUGCCGCGUGUAUUAAUAAGGACUUCGGGGUGUAAAGUACUUUCAGCUAGGAGGCGUUACUCGCAGAAGAAGCACCGGCUAACUCCGUGCCAGCAGCCGCGGUAAUAC